rnacentral:rRNA from 1 species
UACAGGAGGGUGCAAGCGUUAAUCGGAAUUACUGGGCGUAAAGCGCGCGUAGGUGGUUUGUUAAGUUGGAUGUGAAAUCCCCGGGCUCAACCUGGGAACUGCAUCCAAAACUGGCAAGCUAGAGUAUGGUAGAGGGUGGUGGAAUUUCCUGUGUAGCGGUGAAAUGCGUAGAUAUAGGAGGGAACACCAGUGGCGAAGGCGACCACCUGGACUGAUACUGACACUGAGGUGCGAAAGCGUGGGGAGCAAACAGG